GAUGAAGAACGCAGCGAAAUGCGAAAAGUAAUGUGAAUUGCAGAAUUCAGUGAAUCAUCGAAUCUUUGAACGCACAUUGCGCCCGCCAGUAUUCUGGCGGGCAUGCCUGUUCGAGCGUCAUUUCAACCAUCAAGCCCCCGGCUUGUGUUGGGGACCUGCGGCUGCCGCAGGCCCUGAAAAGCAGUGGCGGGCUCGCUGUCACACCGAGCGUAGUAGCAUACAUCUCGCUCUGGGCGUGCUGCGGGUUCCGGCCGUUAAACCACCUUCAUAACCCAAGGUUGACCUCGGAUCAGGUAGGAAGACCCGCUGAACUUAAGCAUAUCAAUAAGCGGAGGA
rnacentral:misc_RNA from 1 species